AAGAUUGUUGCACACCUGUGAACCUAUCAGCAAAAGAGGCCAAACAAUAAUUAUUGCCAGUACUCUUUAAGAUGCAGUCCAACAACACUAGGACAAAUCAACAAUUGGGGUCCUCCUAUUUGCCAUAGAGAACUAGCAGAACCGCCAUGUUUUACAAUGGAUUGGGAUGAAUCCAUGUUCAGCAGCCCUUAAAUUUUCUUUAUAUGUUUAAUCUCUUUUAUUUUGUAAAGGAAGGUAGACAAUCUCUUUUAUUUUGUAAAGGAAGGUAGAC
rnacentral:misc_RNA from 1 species